ACUUGAAUAGCUUAUGUUUUAGAGCGUGACACUGAAGAUGUCAAUGAGGUUUAUUUGAGCCUUUAAGUA
rnacentral:tRNA from 1 species